AAAAACGAACAGGUGUGAUGGCGUCUUGAAAAUUUUCAUGGGCAUAAUAUAGUUACAUAUCGCCGAAUUGCGGAUUUCCGAGUCCAUGAAUAAUCGAUGUUUUGGAGAUUGGUUUGUUAGACCAUUUUAUCCAUUUACCGUUACGGGAUCUGAAUACAUUUGCUUGACAUAACGCACCUGUUCUUCGCAUCACCUAAGCCAGAGCUUUGAUUGCCGAUAACCUCGAGGCAUCUCGUUAAUUAACGAGUUUUAAAAAGCCCUCUUUUUAAUUAAGAGGGUUUUACUUUUCCUGUUUUUUUUGUAUCGCACGUAAUUAUCUCAUGUCAAACUUGUGGUCACGCAUGGUUGGUUUCCCACUGCUGGACCUUAUUGUCAUCCGAUUGUCCACCUAGAGGCCGAUUGUAGCGGUUAUUACCCGAGCUGAGGGCUCCCGGAUAUCCUGAGAUUUGUAACCACAGGGGUGGACAAC